CCUACGGGAGGCAGCAGUGGGGAAUAUUGCGCAAUGGGCGGAAGCCUGACGCAGCGACGCCGCGUGGGGGAUGACGGCCUUCGGGUUGUAAACCUCUUUCGACCCUGACGAAGCGUGAGUGACGGUAGGGGGAGAAGAAGCACCGGCCAACUACGUGCCAGCAGCCGCGGUAAGACGUAGGGUGCGAGCGUUGUCCGGAUUUAUUGGGCGUAAAGAGCUCGUAGGCGGCUCGUCGCGUCGACCGUGAAAACCCGCGGCUUAACUGCGGGCUUGCGGUUGAUACGGGCGGGCUAGAGUUCGGUAGGGGAGACUGGAAUUCCUGGUGUAGCGGUGAAAUGCGCAGAUAUCAGGAGGAACACCGGUGGCGAAGGCGGGUCUCUGGGCCGAUACUGACGCUGAGGAGCGAAAGCGUGGGGAGCGAACAGGAUUAGAUACCCUGGUAGUCCUAGCCGUAAACGAUGGACACUAGGUGUGGGGGGAGUCGAAUCCCUCUGUGCCGCAGUUAACGCGUUAAGUGUCCCGCCUGGGGAGUACGGCCGCAAGGCUAAAACUCAAAAGAAUUGACGGGGGCCCGCACAAGCGGCGGAGCAUGUUCUUUAAUUCGAUGCAACGCGAAGAACCUUACCUGGACUUGACAUGGUGCUGCAAGCGCACGGAAACGUGUGACCUUCGAGGGUGCACCACAGAUGCUGCAUGGCUGUCGUCAGCUCGUGUCGUGAGAUGUUGGGUUAAGUCCCGCAACGAGCGCAACCCUCGUCCUAUGUUGCCAGCGGAUAAUGCCGGGGACUCAUAGGAGACUGCCGGGGUCAACUCGGAGGAAGGGUGGGGAUGACGUCAAGUCAUCAUGCCCCUUAAGUCCAGGGCUUCACGCAUGCUACAAUGGCUGGUACAAAGGGCUGCGAUACCGCAAGGUUGAGCGAAUCCCAAAAGCCAGUCUCAGUUCGGAUGGGGUC
rnacentral:rRNA from 1 species